UGACCCGGACGUGAUUUGAACACGCAGCCUUCUGAUCUGGAGUCAGACGCGCUACCGCUGCGCCACCGAGUC
rnacentral:tRNA from 13 species